rnacentral:rRNA from 1 species
AUGGGGUGCGCGCAGUCGCGGAUCGAGAACGAGGAGGCGGUGGCGCGAUGCAAGGAGCGCCGCCAGCACAUGAAGGCGGCCGUGGCGGCGCGCAACGCCUUCGCCGCCGCGCACUCCGCCUACGCCUUCUCGCUGCGGGACACGGGCGCCGCGCUCUCCGAGUUCGCGCACGGGGAGGGGGUGCCGCCGCCGCCGCCCCCGCCCGCCGCGGAGCUGUCCAAGGCAGGCAGGCUCUCGGCAGGCGGGACCGGCGCGCCCAAGUCGGGGGUCGCGGCCGCGACUUCCGCGGACACGGCGGUGGAGGAGGUAAUGCCGCCGCCGCCGCCCCUCGACUCGCUGCCCCCGCCCCCGCCGCCGCUGCCGGAGUUCUCGCCCUCCCCGGCGAAGAUCCACCGCUCGAUGAGCAUGCCCAUGGCGCCCAAGGCCGUGGCGGGGGGGAGGGGCCCCGCCAUGCUCCACACGCCGGUGACCCCCCAGCCACCGCCGCCGCCUCCCCCGCCGCCGCCCCCGCCCCCUCUUGACCCCAAGACCGGGGUUGACACGUGGGAUUACUUCUUCUCCAUGGAAGAGGGGAUGGCGUCUAUUGCCACCGAGGACGAGGAGAUCAUCCCGGAGCCGGAGGACGAGAAGUACGUUCCUGCCUCGCCACCGCGCCCUCCCUCCUCGCCCCCUCCACAAGCGGUUGUGCCGCCACGGGAGGAGUAUGAGGAGGAGGAGCCGCGCACGCCGGAGAUGGUCACACCGCCUCCGUCGCUUCCGCCAAAGGCUCCUGGACAGUCCAAGAAGAAGAAGGGCAAGGGCAAGGGGAAGGGGAAGAAUAAGUCUGUGCACCACCAGCACACUGAGUCCGCGCCGCCGGUCACGGUGGUCGGUGGCUGGGGGAAGGCGGGGAAGGUUGUCCCCGCCGAGGUGCCACGCGUAGACCUGCUGCAGGUGCUUGCGGAGAUCGAUGAUAGGUUCUUGAAGGCGUCAGAGAGCGCCGGGGAGGUUUCCAAGGCGCUGGAGGCGAACAGGAUGCACUACCAUUCCAAUUUCGCCGACACUAGAGGGCAUAUUGAUCAUUCUGCGAGAGUUAUGAAAAUAAUAACAUGGAAUAGAUCCUUCAGAAGCAUGCAAAAUGGUGAUGAUGGGAAGGAUGAAUUUGAAAAUGAUGAAGAGGAGACGCUGGCAACUGUCAUAGACAAAAUUUUAGCCUGGGAGAAAAAGCUGUAUGACGAAGUGAAGGCUGGUGAGAUUAUGAAGCUUGAGUAUCAGCGGAAGGUUGCUUUGUUAAAUAGACAAAAGAGAAACAAUGCUGCUGUUGAGGUUCUGGAGAAAACUAAAGCUGCUGUUACCCAUUUGCAUACAAGAUACAUAGUUGAUAUGCAAUCAAUGGAUUCAACUGUCUCAGAGAUUCAGCAUCUCCGUGAUAAUCAACUUUAUCCAAAACUUCUGGACCUUGCUGAUAGGCUGGCAAAAAUGUGGGAAGAUAUGCACAUGCAUCAUGCAAACCAGCUGAAAACUGUGUUGGAUCUCAAGUCGGUUGACAUUUCUGAUUCCAGCAUUGAAACAAGUGCGCAUCACCACAGCCACACGCGUCAGCUGCAUGAUAUUGUAGACAAGUGGAACACAAACUUCAGUGAUCUCAUGAGCUAUCAGAAGGAGUACAUAAAUGCUCUCUACAGCUGGUUGAAAUUGAACCUUAUACCUAUAGAGAGCAGCUUAAAGGAGAAAGUAGCAUCGCCACCAAGGGUGCAGCAACCUCCUGUGAAGGCUCUCCUCCAAGCAUGGAAUGAGCAACUAGCCAAGCUGCCGGAUGAUCUUGCCAGGCAUGCCAUCGUUAGCUUCCGGGCGGUCCUGGAAACCAUACUAGGUGUUCAAGACGAGGAGCUGAAGAAGAAAGAGGCUUGUGAACAAAUCCACAAGGAAUACGUGAACAAAUCCACAAGGAAUACAAGCAUGGGCAGCGCAGGACAUUUGAUGACCCGGAGAGCGGCGAGGGGACAAGCCAGAAGGAUGCGAUCUCGGAGAAGAGAUUCGCCGUGGAAAGCUUGA